AAGACCAUAAAGUUAACAUCAAAAAAAUAGUUUCAAUUCAGGAAACCCAAAUUUUGUGCUCCCUCAAGAAGCCUCCCAUUAAUUGGGAGGCUUAGAAAUAGAGGUCACCAAAUACAACAUUCGUCAACAUAAAUUCAUUAACCAAAAGAAAGUGUUUCGUAAUAUACAAAAAAUAUAAUUCAAAUCAUCAAAAAGUAAUAGAAACCCAUUACCCAUAACAAUCGGUUAAUUGAUUGUUAUUUUUGAACAACCACUCACAUAUUCAACUACACUCAAAGAACAAAUACAAACCAUAGGCGCCUAUAACAACAUGAUCAACUAUGAUCAUGCCAAAUUGUGAACUAAAUUAAGUUUAUUCUACAAAAAUCCAGUUUAGAUGUCAUGGUUACAAAGCAAGAAUCUGGAAAGAGCCUAGCUGUUUUGAAAUUUCAUAGUUUCGAGUCUAAAUUAUUGCUUUCGAAUAAAUCAAUGAUCAUCCCAUCAUGGCAGAAAGUUGGACAUAAAUCAGUUGGACAUCAUGUAAUAAAUGACAAAACAAUACUGAAUGCCAUAAACUCGGACCAUCAAGCCUUUGGCAAGAUCAUAACAUCAUCAGCAUAAGAAAUCACAUCAAGGAUUAUGCCUUACCCCCUAACCUUCACAGGAAGCAUGUAAAUGCUACGAAUUUCUCAACUCUAUCACAAAUUACGGAACAGAACUUAUAGUAAACCAAAUUAUAUUUUUGUACAAAUCUAACGGACAGAACUUACAAUAAUCCAAAUUAUACAUUUUGUAUGAAACUUUUUGAAUAUUUAACAUUUCGUACCAACUCCAUUUGAUAUCAAUUUUAUAAUAUGCUAUGCUCCGUUAAAAUUUUUUCAAUCCAUAUUUUACUUCUUACAAUUUUUUAUGAUUUUUUAAUCAAAAUAUAAGUAACAUAAAUUUUGAAAAUUCAAUUAAAUUUUAAAAAUGUUUUGCAUUGUUACAAAUUUUUUUUCCUACAUUUUUUCCUUUCAAAAUUCCUUUUUGCCAUUUUUAUAACUUUAUUACAUAGUGUUACUGCUACUAUUCAUCUGUACUUUAUAUAGUUUUAAAGUCAAAUCUAUAACAAAUCUAAACUGAUAUCAUGUUGAAGCAAAGAUUUCAUGUUUGUUUUUAAAUUGCUUAUUUGAAAAAUAAGAAAAUAUAUAUAUAUUAAAAAUGUAAAUUUCAUACAUUCAAAAAAUCUGUUUCAUAUAUUUAAAAAAUAUAUAUUUCUUAACAUUUUCAUACUUUUUAAUCCAAAUCUGAUAUUAUUUCUUUAUGAUUAUUUUAUUCACUUUACAUAUGAAACUCUUUAUUCAAACAUGGUAUCUUCUUUACAAAUUCCUAUUUCAAACUAUAUUCCUAAUUUUUAUAUACUUUUUUCAUAUACAUAACUAAUAUAAGUGUUGUUUGUUAAUAUCAAAUUUGAAACUUUUUUCUUGCCCAUCUGUAUACAGAAAAUAUGCUUUAUAACUAUUCUUUAUUACGAUUAUUUUUUUCCAAAUUUUUUUUUAAUAAUUUUUGAAAAAUCUAGUUUUAAGAUUGUACAUCUCUUUCUAAUGCCCUACCAAAUUAUUAUUUAUAAAUUUUUACUAUAUAUAUUUUUUUAUCCUAUUUUAAAUUUAAUUUAAAUUUUUCAUAAAAUUUAUUUUGGUUUUAUUUUCAUUACAAAAAAUUUAAUGUUUUCAAAAUCAGUAUAUACAAAAAACAAAAUUUGUUGGAGGCGUUCGCGAGCAUAAUAUUGGUAUUUCUUGCCAAAUUAUGUUUUUAAUUUAAUAUCAUUUCGUAAUGACAAAAAACGACAAAUUUAUUUUUAAUGAUUUUUUUUU